rnacentral:rRNA from 1 species
GACGAACGCUGGCGGCGUGCUUAACACAUGCAAGUCGAACGCUGAAGCGCAGCUUUUGUUGGGUGGAUGAGUGGCGAACGGGUGAGAAACACGUGAGUAACCUGCCUCCUUCUUUGGGAUAACGCCCGGAAACGGGUGAUAAUACAGGAGAUUCACUGGUGUUCGCAUGGGGGCUGGUGGAAAGGGGCUUUCUGGUGGGGGAUGGGCUCGCGGCCUAUCGGCUUGUUGGUGGGCUGAUGGCCUACCAAGGCUGUGACGGGUUGGCGGCCUGAGAGGGUGACCUGGCACAUUGGCACGGUGAUACGGCCCAGGCUCCGACGGGGGGCGGCAGUGGGGAAUAUUGCACAAUGGGCGCAAGCCUGAUGCAGCGUCUCCGCGUGAGGUAUUGAGGCCUUCGGGUUGUGAACCUCUGUCGCACAGGGUCUAGCCGCAACAAUGGUUGUGUUGAGGGUAGUGGGUAAAGAAGCGCCGGCUAACUACGUG